AUGCCCGCUUCCUGCUCCUCCUCUCCCUCUCUCUCUCUCUCCGGCGAAUUUAGAUCUGGAUCUAGGGUUUUUCUCCAUCCGUUUCUACUACUCCAAUUCCUCAUGGAAAUCAUUGGAAUCAAACUCAAGUCUAGGUUUUGAACUUCACGGAGAGUUGAAGAUGAUGCAAGGUGUUGUUUUAAUUGGUGGUGGUUAGCAACGAUAGAGAUGGUGGUGGUCUGCGGCUUGUGGUGGUAAUGGUUAGCGUCAACAGAUUCUGGUGACCCAACCUAGGGUUUAGAGUUUCGACCAGAUUCUGGUAGCCCUAUCUAGGGUUCUGACCAUAACCCUAAUUCGGUGAAAGUUGUAGAUCUGGUCAGUAAGGGAAUGACAAAGAAUUUCGUGUUGUGUGGUACUGUAUCUCUCAUUUCACCAUUUUUAAAAAUUUUUAAGUUA